rnacentral:piRNA from 1 species
UUUAGUAUCAAGAAAAAUACG